GCUAUCAGAAAGUUGUAUGGCAACCACCUCCGGCGCCAAAUAGAACUGGCAGACAUAGACAUUCAGUACAAGAAGAAAAAGAUGGAAAAUCUUGCACUGGAGUCCGAAAUAAAAAAGAGGACAAUUAAGAAACUGGACCUUGAAAUAAAAAAACUUGAGAGGGAGCUCCAAGAAGAUGACACAGCUCAAAAUAAAAAUUAGGUAUAUUCUCGUAAAGUCAAGUGAGCCAUGACAUAUGAGCUCUUAUUGUGAGCACACAGGACGGUGGCAUCUUUCUAAGGUUUUUUUAUUUUCCCAGCAAUCAGUACAACCAAGUCAUCGUUAUAAGGCAUCGCCCUCUUUUGCCCACCCCCCCAGCAGCAGGUGUGGCCACUAGCCUAUAUGAAGGCCCAAAAUUGUGUGUUCCUUUCUGCUCUGACAAUGGCAUGCCCAUUCGUGCGAGAUGUGGUGGAUGAAGAAGCACUUGUGCUGAGGAGAGCCUUCAGGCGAGAAAGGGUCUUCAGGGACCGGUUGGACCCACUGGCCUUCCCUGAUGACCAUCUAUAUGAAAGAUACAGGUUUUCUGCAGAUGGCAUCAGGUAUCUAUGCAGACUACUGGGUCCCAGGAUUAAGCGCCGCACUGCACAGAGCCAUGCACUGAGUGUGGAGCAAAUGGUUUGUGUGGCCUUGCGCUUUUUUGCUAGUGGAGCCUUCCUGUACUCAGUGGGGGAUGCAGAACAGCUGAACAAGGCCACAAUUUGCCGCACAAUAAGGAGUGUGUGUCUGGCUAUCAAAGCAUUAGCAGAUGUCUUCAUCUCCUUCCCUGGCCACAGAAGACUCUGUGACAUCAAAGAGGAGUUCUAUAGGAUUGCAGAUGGUCUGCAAUGCUGACUGUGUGAUCAGCAAUGUUGUGGCAAAAUGGCCUGGCUCAGUCCAUGACUCCAGAAUCUUUCGGGCCUCUGAAAUCUAUCAGUGCCUAUCACAAGGUGAAUUCUCUGGUGUGUUGCUGGGAGACAGGGGGUAUGGCUGCCAGCCUUUUCUCCUGACACCUUUCACAGACCCCAGGAAGCACAGCAGGCCUACAACCAUGCCCAUGCCAGGACCAGGGCCAGAGUUGAAAUGACCUUUGGCCUCCUGAAGGCACGCUUUCACUGCCUUCACAAAUUAAGGGUCAGCCCUGUUAGGGCAUGUGAUAUUACUGUGGCUUGCGCUGUCCUCCACAAUGUGGCCUGCCUGAGGAAGGAGAGGGCCCCCAGAGUGCCACCAGCCAUGGACUGGGACAAUCCGGCAAUCUUCCCUGAUGACGACAGUGGUCGGCUGCUGAGGGACCAAUAUGUGUUGAAUUAUUUUAGUUAGUAUGUGUGCUUUCAAUUUUGGUUAAAUAUGUCCUGCGGUGGCAGAGGAAUUUGGGUUUUUUGGGUUCGUUUUUUGACGAAUUUGGCCUCUUAUGAUGUUUGUGCGGUAUACUGUGUGUAAUACAAGGCUGCAGGGAGGCUACUGCAUCCAUUCAUUUGUCUGUUCAGUUGAUGUGUAUGGAUUUGUCCUGCAUUUAUUUGAGUGUGCAGACAUGCAGGGUGUGUUAUAUACAGACCUUUGAAUGUGUAUGUAUCAUUUUGUAUAAUAUGCUU